CCUACGGGAGGCAGCAGUCGGGAAUUUUGGGCAAUGGGCGAAAGCCUGACCCAGCAACGCCGCGUGAAGGAUGAAAUCCCUCGGGAUGUAAACUUCGCAAGAACGGGAAGAAUAAGCGAUAGUUAAUAUCUGUCGUGAUGACGGUACCGUUCGUAAGCUCCGGCUAACUCCGUGCCAGCAGCCGCGGUAAUACGGGGGGAGCAAGCGUUGUUCGGAUUUACUGGGCGUAAAGGGCGCGUAGGCGGCCAGCACAAGUCAGUUGUGAAAUCUCCGAGCUUAACUCGGAAAGGUCAACUGAUACUGUGCGGCUAGAGUGCGGAAGGGGCAACUGGAAUUCUUGGUGUAGCGGUGAAAUGCGUAGAUAUCAAGAGGAACACCUGCGGCGAAGGCGGGUUGCUGGGCCGACACUGACGCUGAGGCGCGAAAGCCAGGGGAGCGAACGGGAUUAGAUACCCCGGUAGUCCUGGCCUUAAACGAUGAAUGCUUGGUGUCUGGGGUUAUAUAGUCCCCGGGUGCCGUCGCUAACGCUUUAAGCAUUCCGCCUGGGGAGUACGGUCGCAAGACUGAAACUCAAAGGAAUUGACGGA
rnacentral:rRNA from 1 species